rnacentral:rRNA from 1 species
AUUGAACGCUGGCGGCAGGCUUAACACAUGCAAGUCGAACGAGUGGCGGACGGGUGAGUAAUGCGUGGGAAUGUAGCUUAUGGAGGGGGAUCACUACGGGAAGCUGUAGCUAAUACCGCAUACCAUAGGGUGCGCCCAAGUGGGAUUAGCUAGUGGGUGGGGUAACGGCUCACCAAGGCGACGAUCUCUAGCUGGUCUGAGAGGAUGACCAGCCACACUGGGACUGAGACACGGUCCAGACUCCUACGGGAGGCAGCAGUGGGGAAUAUUGCGCAAUGGGCGCAAGCCUGACGCAGCCAUGCCGCGUGAGUGAAGAAGGCCUUCGGGUUGUAAAGUACUUUCGGCAGGGAGGCGUUACCUGCAGAAGAAGCACCGGCUAACUCCGUGCCAGCAGCCGCGGUAAUAC